rnacentral:rRNA from 1 species
AUGCUCGCAAGAGUAGAACUAGCUAACUGAAAUCACAUGAGUCAUGCGUAAUUGUUGGUGAUUGUGAUAACGUAAGGGAAAAAAAUGAUAUUACCUUACUAUUAGUGUUGUCCAAAACUGGUGCCAGAAGACUCGGUAAGGCCAGAGACGCAAACGUUAGUCGUCCUAAUCAGGCGUAAAGGGUAUGUAGGCUGCUUUAAAAGUUUUAUUUAUAAAUAGCUCUGUAACCAUAUAUAAAAAUGUGAAUAAAAUAACAAGGCCCUUCGGGGUAAAUAUAUAUGUAACAGUAUAAUAUAAGAUUAAUUAAAGCUAGAAUCAAAUUGGGGAUAAACCGAAUAAUACUUAGAGUAGGGAUUAUAUCCGUAGAUACUAAGGGGAAUACUAAAGGUGAAAGCUUUUUAUCUACUAAUGAUUGACGCUGAGAAACGAAGGUGAGAAUAGGAAAUAGGAUUAGAUACCCAGAUACCUCUCACUGUCAACGAUGAAUGGUGGUUGUUAGUUUUAAUAAAAACUGGUAACGAUGUUAACACGAUAACCAUUCCGCCUUGCGAGUACGGUUGCAAAACUGAAACCAAAAAAAUUAGUCGGUCUCGAAGCAAACGAAGUG